rnacentral:lncRNA from 1 species
CCGUCUCGGUCGUCAGAACCACCCGACUCGCCGCAGGUCCAGGAGGCUUGCUUGCUCAACAGAGGUGACUGUCUCCAAGGCACCCCUGGCAGCCACCUGGACAUUCAACCGUCUCGGUCGUCAGAACCACCCGACUCGCCGCAGGUCCAGGAGGCUUGCUUGCUCAACAGAGGUGACUGUCUCCAAGGCACCCCUGGCAGCCACCUGGACAUUCAACCGUCUCAGUCCUCAGAACCACCCGACUC